UCCCGGUGCUGAAAUCGGUGAUCGAGAAAGCGGAGGGCAGCCCGCACCGGAGCGAGGUGGAGGGCUGGCUGCAGAGGCUGAAAGACGCUUACGACGGCGCGGAGGACGCGCUGGACCGCCUCAACUACGACCGCCUCAGACGCAAGGCUAAGGCAGCCGCAAGGAGCAGCAGUGGUAAGAGGCCAAGUAAUAAUCCGGUAGGUUCUUCUUCCUUUUUUCGCAUACCAAAACGUGUGAAAUGGGUGAUAAAAGGCGGCCGGGACAUGCUGUCGCCUCGAAAGAUCAAGCUGAAGGUAAGGCUGAAGAAGCUGAAAAAGAUCGCCGGCGAAGCCAAGGAACUCAGCACUUUGUUAGGUGCCCAGCCUGAGACAGCAGACAGCAGGCAGACCAUCUCAGUGCCUCCGCAGAGAGUGUUCGGCCGCGACGAAGAUCGUGAUGAAAUCAUCCGUCGUUUGAAGAUAGAACCUCCUGCAGCAGGCGUACCUAUACCUAUAAUUGCCAUCGUCGGUCGCCCGGGGGUCGGGAAGACUACUCUUGCACAGUACGUUUGUCAGCAGUUGAGGACCGAAUUAGGUGACAGACAACAUUUUGAUCUCAUCAUGUGGGUCCACACAUCCUGCAACUUCAACGCAGCCGGAAUUAUGAAAGACAUCAUACAACAAGCUUCUAUCGCAAGUGAGCCUCAAGAUCCCGUUGCUCCCGAUGAUCAAGCCGUAACGAUACUUACCCAUCUUUCUAACCUCGACACUAUGGUCGUGGGCAACCUUGACACACCUGAAGCGCUACGACUGAAAAUGAACAAAAAGCUGAACGCGAAGAAGUUCCUGCUCGUGAUAGAUGAUGUUUGGUGCGACGGAGAAGACCGCAAGAAGAAUUGGGAUGCGCUAUUCAGAUGUUUAAGCAAAUGUUGUUGUUUGCCAGGGAGCAAGAUUUUAGUUACGUCUCAAACGGACGAUGCGCCAAGAAAGAUUGCUGCUGCUAAUGCUGCUACUAUGGAACACAUUUUGCAUUUGAAAGAUUUAGCAGAGAAUGACUUUGCGGAUCUUUUCAAUGAAUACGCAUUGCCUAGCGGGGAAUUCGAUUCUCACUUAAGAGAAGAUUUAAAAAAGAAAUGCAAGACAAUCGCUGCGAAGUUGAACAAGGACCCUACAGCGGCCAAGAUGGUUGGCGAGACAAUCGCUACGAAGCUGGCCGAUCUCCUUCGUUCGCAAGGUAAUUUGCAUGCAUAUUUGGAAACGAUCGCAGACAAGGACUGGUCCGGCGACAAAACCAAAGCGCUGAUGUGGAGUUUUCGGCAUUUGCCGGCACAUCUUCAGCGUUGCUUCUCGUACUGUCGCCUGUAUCCUAGAGGCUACAAGUUCAAAGCUUUAGAACUGGUUCAGCUCUGGAUGGCGCAAGGUUUUAUCAAGCCGGAUGAUCCGAAUGAGAGGGUGGAGGAUGCAGGCGACGGUUACCUGAAUGAUUUGGUGUCCAGAUUCUACAUUCAGUGUCAUAACAGAUUCCGCCGCUCCUCUGGGACAGGAAAGCCUGUCUGCUACUACACGUUGCAUGAAUUGCUGUAUGAUCUAGCAGAAAAGGUUACUCGCAGUGAUUGUGUUAGAAUAGAAGGUAAUCGUCAGAGCGAGAUCCCGUCGACUAUUCGCCAUCUGUGCAUACCGGCUGACAAACUGAAUGAGAAGAAGGAGGAAAUUUGCAAACUGAAGAAACUUCGCACCCUAAUCGUCAUGGAAGGAGAAAGUGUCGUCUCAGACGAAAAUGUUGCGACCACCGACACCUUCAAGAGCUUAAAAAAGUUGCGCGUGCUGCAGGUUUCGGGGUUAAAUCUAGAAAAACUGACGAGAAAGUUUAUAAGCGAAAUGAAGCACCUUCGCAUCCUGCGAGUUUCAGGUACUGGCGAGUCCGUGUUGCUGGUGGCGGUGUCCACUCUGUAUCAGCUACAGGUGUUGAAAGUAGAAAACGCUCGCCCGCGUGCUGCACACCUUACCGACUUGGUCGGCUUGCGGUAUCUACAGCCUUCUGGCAUAGCCGAGAUCGGCAAUUUAACUUCCUUGCAAGGCCUAGAGAAUUUUCAGGUGAGAAAGGAAAAAGGAUAUGAGCUGGAGCAGCUAAAGAACUUGAACGAACUUCGAGGACGCCUGUGCAUUGAUAAUCUUGAGAAUGUUGAGAGCAAGGAGAGCGCCAUUGCUGCCAAUUUGAAAGAAAAGAAGCAUCUUGAUUCGCUCCAGCUGGUAUGGCGCGACGGCGAGGACAAUGCAAAUUCUAAUUUGGAUGCUGAAAUUCUUGAGGGUCUCCAAUUGCCUCCCAAUCUUACCAGCCUUUAUCUAGACGGGUAUCGAGGACCGUCGUGGCCCGAAAAUCAAACAUCCAACAUUCAAGAACUUGCGCUGAGGAGGUGUGGAAUGCUUGAAGAGCUCCCACCUAUGGACCAGCUUUACCCUUAUUGCAGAUCACUCGAGCUUCAGCAUAUUACUAGACUUAAAGCAGUACACACCCUUCCUCCGAGGCUUCGAAACAUCGCAAUAUUUCGCGCACCAUUUCUCACCUUCGUAACAAAUGAAGACCUGCAGUUGAGCCAAGAUGACAAGAGAUCCAUAAGAGAGGUCAUGAGGAACAGGACGCAGGAAUGGUUCCGACACCAAUAUAAAGAAGACUUAGCCCACAACGAAAGAGAAAUGAGGGAUUUCAUAGCCGCGAUGAAUGGCCGAGAGCAUAACAAAAGUGUGCCUGCCGCCGAUGCGGAUAUUGCCGCUGUCUGGGGGAGAUGGUUGGCGACGCAUGAGCGAAAAACGGAAUUAAUUUACAACAGACAAAAUGAGGCCAAAUUGCUUUUGCCCUCUACCAUUACUAGGCUCCGGCUCGAGGGAUGCAACAUUACCGACCACGCAUUGUCGGUAUGCCUACAAAACCUCCCCUCCCUUAUGCAGCUGUUGUUAGCAGAUCUCAAAAUGAUAACCCGUCUACCGUCUGCGGACGUCCUUGCCAACUUAAAAUUGCUCCAAACUUUACGUCUGAGCGACUGCUGGGCUCUCACUUCGCUGGAUGGUAUAAGAUCCCUCCGCCGUCUCGGAAAUCUCCUUCUAAUCGGAUGCCCCUGCUUGGACACUGAAACUGCUGUGCUGCCGUCCUCGUCGCGGUCUAUUCUUUUUGAGUCUUGUGCAGAUGUAGAUGUAAUCCUAGCCUAUGCAAAUUUGCAACAUCUAUCUCGUCUUACGAUUACUCGAUGUCGUACGCGAACGGCAUCGUUACAGUUCUGCAACCUCCGAUCUCUCCACUCCUUGAGUAUCCGGGAUUGUUCUGGCGUCUCAUUCUCGGUGGAUUUGCAGGAACUGCACUCUCUAGAAUAUCUCAUUCUGCAGAACUGCUCAAAUCUGCGGGAAGUGGUGAAUUUGCCCAGGUCACUCAAAAGGUUAGGAAUACGCGGAUGUCCGAUUUUAGAGGAAUCCAUAGAAAUUGACCCCCUUUCGGGCAGGCGUAUGCUCAACGGCAUCCCUGUAGAAGACAGCUUCGAACAUGCUCUGUAAUGUGGAAAAAAGGUACGUAUCGCCUUCCCAUUCUUACAAUUGGCAAACUUUGAAUUCCUGAUCGUCUUAUUCUUUUUUCCUCAUUAAAAGUGCAUAAGUUAAUCAGUCUCUUGAUGAAUCAGCGAAGAUCUUGAAGUACUUCAAACUUUUCUACACCUUGCCUAUGUGUUUUGAGAUUAGAAUUAAAAACGAUGUAACUGACCUAGUUUUAGAUUGAAAUACUUUAUAAUCACUCAUCUAUGUAUCUAUUGAAGAUAAUAAUAUUAUUUAUCCCUGCAGUAUGUGGAUGCAUUCACUUCUGUACUCAUCAUGCACUUCUAUGUGAAUUACUCUUUCAAAUUUUUUUCUUUCAUGCAUCAAAUGUAGAAUCAUUAUUAAAGUGCUUGAGUAUAAUUUGGUUCUAGGAUUGGGGUUUAUCUUAUCGGUAUUAUGAUACAAUCCUACAGUCCUAUUCUCUAAUCAUUGUCCUUUUCGAAUCUUAAUUGCUAAAUCAACAUGAUUCAGAUGUAUUACUUCCCUUACUUUUAAUUCCUGCAGAUUCAAAAGUGUGGUAAAAAAGUAUUUUAUAUCAGUUUUUUUGCUGUAAUUUUCUAUAAAUCCCAUAAUUUAAAGGAUAAGAUUCAUGAUCUUGCAAUUCAAAUUGCAUCCUUCUAAUCUAUUUGAACGUUAUGUAUCACUUUAUUUUCAUUGUGCUUAUUUUUUAGUGUUCUCAUUCUGUAUUGGUUUCGCAAUCUUUUUGCAGGCAUCUGAUGGGCAAUUAGCUUCUGAAGAUGGGGGAAAAAGAAUAAAGGUUUAUUAAUGGGUAUGUAUAUUGUUAUUGUGUGGGUUAUUAAUUGUUGUCAAAGAGUUGGUUUGACCAUCCAAAAAAAAAAAAAAAGGAGCCAAAAAAAAAGAAAAAAAAAAAGGCUUAUUAAUGUGUAUGUAAUCUAUAUUGCUAUUUGUGUGGAUUGUUAAUUGAUGUUGUAUAAGAAUUGGUUCGUCCAUCACAAAAAAGAAGCCAAAAACAAGCAAAAAAAAAAAAAAAAAAAAAAAAAAAAAAAAAAAAAAAAAAAAAAAAAAAAAAAAAAAAAAAAAAAAAAAAAAAAAAAAAAAAAAAAAAAAAAAAAAAAAAAAAAAAAAAAAAAAAAAAAAAAAAAAAAAAAAAAAAAAAAAAAAAAAAAAAAAAAAAAAAAAAAAAAAAAAAAAAAAAAAAAAAAAAAAAAAAAAAAAAAAAAAAAAAAAAAAAAAAAAAAAAAAAAAAAAAAAAAAAAAAAAAAAAAAAAAAAAAAAAAAAAAAAAAAAAAAAAAAAAAAAAAAAAAAAAAAAAAAAAAAAAAAAAAAAAAAAAAAAAAAAAAAAAAAAAAAAAAAAAAAAAAAAAAAAAAAAAAAAAAAAAAAAAAAAAAAAAAAAAAAGCCAAAAAAAAGAAAAAAAGCAAAAAAAAAAGAGUGUGCAUGGUUUGCAUUGUGGUCAUAAAAUGUAUUAUAUUUCACUUUUUUUUUGUUUAAAAUGUAUUAUGUUUUGUACAGCGCAGAAGACUCUGUAGACCUAGAAUUAUUAACAUAUUAGUAUGCGAGUGUUUUAAUUUUGUUGUCGAAGACAUUUUUUUUUGAGAGAUAGGUAGCAUGCUACUCGCUUCUUUUAUUCUAUCGAGAAAUAAAGUUAGCUGGAAAUAUGAAUCAACUAGAAUUCGAACUUGGAACCUCGGAUACCAACCAUGAAACCUUUUGCUACUUGCUCUAGGGACGGUAGGUGUUGUCGAAGACUUGGUUCGGUUAAUUUUGUGCAUGGUGUGCAUUGUGGUCUUAAAAUAUAAUAUGUUUUCAUACUUUUCUCUCUUAACGUAUUAUGUUUAGUACGGUGUAAACUAAAGACCCUGUAAACCUGAAAUUUUACACUAAAGACCCUGUAAACCUGAAAUUUAUGUUGUGUUUGUAUGUAAAUUUGAGUAUUUUAAUUUUGAUGUUGUAACCAACCGUUCCUAGAGUAAGUGGCAAAGGCUUGGUGGUUGGUAUCCAAGACCCAAGUUUGAAUCCUAGUUGAUUUAUAUUUGCAGCUAAGUUUAUUUCUAAAAAAAAUAAACGAAGCGGGUAGCGUGCUACCUAUCUCUCAAAAAAAAAAAAUUAAAAAAAAAAAUUUGUGGUCAAAGGUGGAGGAACGGGCUAGCUGAAUUGGCAGCUUGCUGGUGGACUAUCUGGAAGGCUAGGAAUAACCUAAUCUUCCGUGACACUCAGCUAGACCCUCUUGUAGCAGUGCGAAGGCUCAGGCAGCUCAUUGAUUCUUGGAGAGACCUGCUGUAAUUUUUUUUUUUUUUUUUUUUUUUGGCUUUUUUCUUAUGACGUGUUUUUUUCUUUUUUCCUUGAGGCCCUGGUUGCCUCACCCCUGUAGCCUAAUUCAUAUUUUUAAUGAAUGAAGCGGGUAACGUGCUACCUAUUCUCUCAAAAAAAAAAAAAAAAAAUUUGUUGUUGUAGUACCUCUUGUGCUUUUGGUUACACUUUACGGUGUGAACAUGAUCAGAUUAAACGGGCCUCAUAUGUUGCCGAUGAAUGAUACAUUCCUCAUAAUUUACGAACAGAAAUUAAGUUAUAAUCAGGGUAACUCAGCACACGAAGAUUAUACGAGACUUGUGUCAAACUAAAGCAGUUUGAGCCCAAGAUAUUACCCACACGCAUGGGGUUAUAAUCAUUCACGGGGUACAUUAAUUCAUCCAUGUGGAUUCUGUUUAAGACAGAUCUGAUAUUAGACACAAAUUAGAAAGCUAUAUAUAUAUAACAUAUAUAUACAUAAUAAAAGAAGUUUAUCCAACUAUUAACUUGAACUUAAUUUUUGGUUGGAUUUGAUCCCAUUAACCAAACACAUUUUGGGUCACUAACAAUAUUUAGUAGAAGCCUUAACCCAGCAGGUUUCAGAACAAAGUUCUGAGAGAGUUGCUAUCUAGAGAAGGUAGUAUUUACUGUCAAUGUUCACUGACUCAAGUCAAUAAGAAAGUAUAGAUUAGUAUUGAUAUUAUUUGUCGGACUUGUGCCAAUACAUUUUAUCUUAAUUAUAAGAAAAGGUUAUAUGUACAUAUAGAGAGAGAUAAGGGCCAGGGCCUAAUUGUGUCAAUUAUUAUAUAUUAUAUUAUUAUCAGGGUAAAUAGCAUGUUUGGUUCUCAAACUAUGAGUCGAGUGACGUUUUGGUCAUCAUACUCUAAUUUAUGAGUAAUGCUUCUAUACUUUUUUUUUUUUGUUACCGUUCAUUCACGCGUAUUUAACGGCUCAGAUUUAGUUUUUUUAAAAUUAUGACCUGCAAUAGUAAGUCACUUUGGGAGAGGUACCGGUUACCAGGUACCUCAAAAAAGGAUAUUUUUGUCUUUUAAUAUAUGGACAAUUUAGUCAUUUUAUAUCUACUAUAUUUUCAAAAUUUUUAUUUUUUCUUUGUUUCCUUUUUCUCUCUCUAUCUUUCUUUUUCACAAUUUGACAUUUCAUAUAAGGAAAAUUUCAAAUGAUUUGACAAUAUGAUCAUUGAAUUUAAACUUUAAAUAGUAAUAUGAAAUUCCUCUAAUUUAAAUUUUACUUUUAAAUUUUAAAUUUAAUAUUAUAUUCAAAUUUAUAUUUUAAAAAUUUAAGUUUUAUAUAAAUACUUUGAAAUAUGGUAAACAGAAAUAAUUGUUUGAAUUCUAUUCUUCUGGUUUAGGUUUGGUUUUGGGUUUCGGAAAAUUGGUCAGUUUUGAAUUUAGAUAUGGAUUUUUGAAAUUGGUCGAGUUUGGAAAUAAGUUUUGUCAUUGUUAGUUAAAUUCGAAUUCAAAUGCCUAACUAUUUUUUUUCUCACCAAUAAUUCUAAUCUUUUUAAUUUAUAUGUUUAAAAUUAUAUUUAAAAUAUUUAUUAGCUCUAACAGUUAAAUUAUCAUUCUGUUUAAAAUAUUUAUUAUCUUUACCAGUUCCAAUUGUUCUUAUGUAUUCGUUUCUAGGUCAGAUUUUUGAUAGAUAGGUCAAGUCUGAUCAGUAAUAUCAAUCGUUCAUCUAGUUUUUUAAUACAUGUGGAAUUUAAUUUAAUAGUAAUAUGAAAUUCCUCUAAGAAAGUCUAGUUGUUAGAAAUCUUACUCUCUAAGUUUUUUAUGCAAAUCUUUUAAACGUGGUGCGAAUAACACGAUUUAAAUUUGUGAAUUUAGUUUUACAUAGUAAUAUAAAUUCGUCUUAUAUUAAAUUUCACUUUUAAAUUUUAAGUAUUCAUUUUUUAAAUUUAAAUUCAUCGAUUUAGAAAUAAAAACUAUUUCUAAAAUUGUCUAUAAAUUUAAAUUAUGAAUAAUCUUGAGAAAACUAAAACAGUUUAAAGUAAGGAUUCCUAAAUUAAUGGCCUAAUAAUUGAUUAAUUAUUGGUUAAUCAAUAAUUUCCUAAUUAGUGUCUUAUUAAUGCAUAAUUUAGGACACUCAUUAAAGUUUCUUUAAAUUUGUAUGUAUUUAAUUACCAGAACUAACCUUGAAUAAAUAAUUUUGUUUAAACCUGCUAAGUUUAGUAAAGCUUACUUAUUUUCUUAUUAAUCAAUGGUGAGAUUUUUUAUUUUUUUUAAAAAAAGUACCGAAUCAUAUUCUCAUAAUUUAUUUAAUUUCUUAUUCAAACUUUUAGAAUUAGUUACAAUGAUCCUUCUGUUAGCUUGUCCAGUACACCUUGUACUCAAAAGCAAUCUUCUUUAUGUAUAACCUUAAUUGGUUGACUAAUAAGAUUGCGUAUUUAAUAUAAAGAAAUAUAGCAGUUAUUUACGACUAAUGAUGCCACAAUAAUUACGACUUAAUAUUACUUUUACAAUCAAAAAAAAAAAAAAAAAAAAUACAAUAUGAACAGGUUCGAGACGAAGGUCACAUGCCUCAUAUUUUGAAGGACCGGCAAUGCAGCUAUAUAUAUUUAAUAGUAUCAUUUAUUAUUUUACAGAAUGUUGAGUAAUUAUCAACAAUGCCAUGGACAAGUUGCAUGAGUAGUUCUAAACAAUGGCAAGUUGCCUCUUCUUGUCAUGCAUAAUAGAUUCAGUCCUUCGUCAUCCAGCGGUCCCAGACCGUGGUCACGUCAUCCCCACUAUCCCCCAGCCGGUCGAUCUCCAAGCUCAUCACCAUUAGAAAUCUUGAGAAAAUGGUCAACCGUCUCCUCGUGAGUGAACAAAUUGUUAUUCAUGAAAUUGUUCCAGGGUAGUUGGCGCAACAUGUUGUGGCGCGGCCUUAAUUCCACCACACUUGUUUGGUGCCGUUAAUUCUCAGCCGGCAGCUACCUAGCUAGCUGUCUGUUCUGAGCUUGCUGGCACGAGAAUGGCGGGAGUAGAAGCGAUCGGAUUAGCGGCGCUGGGAUGGGUGGCGUCUCCCCUCGUGGCGAAGCUGCUCGCCGAAGGCUUCGCCAGCUUAGGCAUCAACGCGGAGAAGAAGCUGCAGAAGCUGAGGGCCACCGUCCUCCCGGUGCUGAAAUCGGUGAUCGAGAAAGCGGAAGGCAGCCCGCACCGGAGCGAGGUGGAGGGCUGGCUGCAGAGGCUGAAAGACGCUUACGACGGCGCGGAGGACUCGCUGGACCUCCUCAACUACAACCGCCUCAGACGCAAGGCGGCGGCGGCAGCAAGCAGUGCUAAGAGGCCAACUAAUCCGGUACGUUCUUCUUCCUUUUUUCACAUACCAAAACCUGUGAAAUGGGUGAUAAAAGGCGGCCGGGACAUGCUGUCGCCUCAAAAGAUCAAGCUGAAGCGAAGGCUGAACAAGCUUGAAAAGAUCGCCGGCGAAGCCGAGAAACUCCGCACCUUGUUAGGCGCCCAGCCCGACCAGACGGCGGCGGCAGCGCCUGACAGCAAGCAGACCAUCUCGCUGCCUCCGCCGAAAGUGUUUGGCCGUGACGAGGAUCGUGACGAAAUCAUUCGGCGUUUGAAGAUAGAACCUGCAGCAGGCGUACCAAUAAUUGCCAUAGUCGGUCGCCCGGGGGUCGGGAAGACUACUCUCGCACAGUACGUUUGCGAGCAGCUGGGGAGCGAGUUAGGUGACAGACAACAUUUUCAUCCCAUCAUGUGGGUCCACGCAUCUUGCAACUUCAACGCAUCCGAAAUUAUGAAAGACAUCAUACAACAAGCUGCUAUCGCAAGCGAGCCUCAAGAAGAUCUUGGUAACCCUGAUGAUAUCGCCGCAACGUUCCAUACCCAUCUUUCUAACCUCGACACGAUGGUCGUGGGCAACCUCAACACGCCUGAAGCACUACAGCUGAAAAUGAACAAAAAGCUGAACGCGAAGAAGUUCCUGCUCGUGAUAGAUGAUGUUUGGUGCGACGGAGAAGACCAUGAAAAUAAUUGGGAUAUGCUAUUCAGAUGUUUAAGCAAAUGUUGUUGUUUGCCGGGGAGCAAGAUUUUAGUUACGUCUCAAACGGACGAUGCGCCGAGAAAGAUUGUUGCUGCUAAUGGUGCUGCUGUUGUAGAAUACAUUUGUCAUUUGGAAGAUUUAGCAGAGAAUGACUUUGCCGAUCUUUUCAUUCAAUACGCAUUGCCUAGCGGGGAAUUCGAUUCUCACUUAAGAGAAGAUUUAAAAGAGAAAUGCAAGACAAUCACUGCGAAGUUGAACAAGGACCCUACGGCGGCCAAAAUGGUUGGCAAGACGAUCGCUACGAAGCUGGCCGUUCUCCUUCGUUCGCAAGGUAAUUUGCAUGCAUAUUUGGAAACGAUCGCAGACAAGGACUGGUCCGGCGACAAAACCAAAGCGCUGAUGUGGAGUUUUCGGCAUUUGCCGGCACAUCUUCAGCGUUGCUUCUCGUACUGUCGCCUGUAUCCUAGAGGCUACAAGUUCAAAGCUUUAGAACUGGUUCAGCUCUGGAUGGCGCAGGGUUUUAUCAAGCCGGAUGAUCCGAAUGAGAGGGUGGAGGACGCAGGUGACGGUUACCUGAAUGAUUUGGUGUCCAGAUUCUACAUUCAGCGUCAUAACAGAUUCCGCCGCUCCUCUGGGACAGGUAAGCUUGUCUGCUACUACACGUUGCAUGAAUUGCUGUAUGAUCUAGCAGAAAAGGUUACUCGCAGUGAUUGUGUUAGAAUAGAAGGUAAUCGUCGGAGCCAGAUCCCAUCGACUAUUCGCCAUCUGUGCAUACCGGCUGACAAACUGAAUGAGGAGGAGGAGGAAAUUUGCAAACUGAAGAAACUUCGCACCCUAAUCGUCACGAAAGGAGAAAACGUCGUCUCAGACAAAAAUGUUGCGACCGGCAUCUUCAAGAGCUUAAAAAAGUUGCGCGUGCUGCUGGUUUCGGGAUUAAAUUUAGAAAAUUUGACAAAGUUUAUAAGUGAAAUGAAGCACCUUCGCAUCCUGCAAGUUUCAGGUGCUGGCGAGUUCGUGUUGCUGGAGUCGGUGUCCACUCUGUAUCAGCUACAUGUGUUGGAAGUAGAAAACGUUAGCUCGCUUCCUGCACGCCUUAAUGACUUGGUCGGCUUGCGGUAUCUACGGCCUUCUGGCAUAGCCGAGAUAGGCAAGUUAACUUCCUUGCAAGGCCUAGAGAAUUUUCAGGUGAGAAAUGAAAAAGGAUAUGAGCUGGAGCAACUAAAGAACUUGAACGAACUUCGAGGACGCCUGCGCAUUGAUAAUCUUGAGAAUGUUGAGAGCAAGGAGAGCGCCAUUGCCGCCGAUUUGAAAGAAAAGAAGCAUCUUGAUUCGCUCCAAUUGGUAUGGCACGACGGUGAGGACAAUGUAAAUUCUACUUUGGAUGCUGAAAUUCUUGAGAGUCUCCAAUUGCCUCCCAAUCUUACCAGCCUUCAUCUAGAUGGGUAUCGAGGACCGUCGUGGCCCGAAAAUCAAACAUCCAACAUUCAAGAACUUGCGCUGAGGAGGUGUGGAAUGCUUGAAGAGCUCCCACCUAUGGACCAGCUUUACCCUUAUUGCAGAUCACUCGAGCUUUGGCAUAUUACUAGACUUGAAGCAUUACACACCCUUCCUCCGAGACUUCAAGAAUUCACAAUAUUUCGCGCGCCAUUUCUCACCUUCGUAACAAAUGAAGACCUGCAGUUGAGCCAAGAUGACAAGAGAUGCAUAAGAGAGGUCAUGAGGAACAGGACGCAGGAAUGGUUCCAACACCAACGUAAAGAAGACUUAGUCCACAACGAAAGAGAAAUGAGGAAUUUCAUAGCCGGGAUGAAUGGCCGAGAGCAUAGCAACAUUGUGCCUGCCGCCGAUGCGGAUAUUGCUGCUGUGUGGGAGAGAUGGUUGGAGACGCAUGAGCAAAAAACAGAAUUAAUUUACAGCAGACAAAAUGAGGCCAAAUUGCUUUUGCCCUCUACCAUUACUAGGCUCCGGCUCCAGGGAUGCAACAUUACCAACCACGCAUUGUCGGUAUGCCUACAACAAAACCUCCCCUCCCUUACGCGGCUGUUGUUAGUAGAUCUCAAAAUGAUAACCCGUCUACCGUCUGCGGACGUCCUUGCCAACUUAAAAUCACUCCAAACUUUAGCUCUGAGCAACUGCUGGGCUCUCACUUCGCUGGGUGGUAUAAGAUCCCUCCGCCGUCUCGGAAAUCUCCUUCUAAACGGAUGCCCCUGCUUGGACAUUGAAAAUGCUGUGCUGCCAUCCUCGUUGCAGUAUAUCCAUUUUGAGUAUUGUGCAGAUGUAGAUGCAAUCCUAGCCAAUGCGAAUUUGCCACGUCUAUCUCGUCUUACGAUUACUCGAUGUCGUACACGAGCGGCAUCGUUACAGUUUCGCAACCUCCGAUCUCUCCACUCCUUGAGUAUCCUGGAUUGUUCUGGCGUCUCAUUCUCGGUGGAUUUGCAGGAACUGCACUCUCUAGAAUAUCUCAUUCUGCAGAACUGCUCAAAUCUGCAGGCAGUGGUGAAUUUGCCCAGGUCACUCAAAAGUUUAGGAAUACGCGGAUGUCCGAUUUUAGAGGCGCAAUCCAUAAACAUCGACCCCCGUUCGCGCAUCCGUAUGCUUGGCGGCAUCCCUGUAGAAGACAACUUCGAAACAUGCUCUGUAAUGUAGAAAAAGAGGUACGUAUCGCCUUCCUGUUCUUACAAAUCGGCAAACUUUGAAUUCCUGAUCUUUCUGUUCUUUUCUUUCUCCUCAGUAGUGCAGAAGUUAAUCACAGUCUCUUGAUGAAUCUGCAAAAAUCUUGAAGCACUUCAAACUCUUCUACACCUUGCAUGUGUGUUUUGAGAUUAGAAUUAAGAUGAUGAACUGACCGAGUUUUAGAUUGAUAUGCUUUAUAAUCACUCGUCUAUCUACCGACUAGUAUGUGGAUGCAUUCGCUUCCGUACUCAUCAUGCACUUCUAUGUAAGUUGCUCUUUCAAGUUUUCUUCUUUCAGGCCAUCAAAUAUAGAAUCUGUAUUAAAGUGCUAGCAUAUAAUUUGGUUCUAGGAUUGGGGUUUAUAUUGAAGGUGUUAUUGUUAAAUAUAAAAAUAUUUAAACACCAUUCUCUGAUAGCUUUAGCUUUUAGAGUACAACUGUUAUUUUACAUGGUAUCAGAGCAGGAGGUUCUGAGUUCGAGUUACGUCAGGCUCUUAGCAUAUUAAUUUCUUCCCAUUUAAUUUAAGCUCACGUCAUGGACCGACUAAAAAGUCUCGAGCCCAGACGUGAGGGGGAGUGUUAAAUAUAAAAAUAUUUAAACACCGUUCUCUGAUAGCUUAACCUUUUAGAGUACAACGGUUAUUUCACAGUUAUGAUACAUUAAUCCUACAGUCGUAUUCUCUAAUCGCUGUCCUUCUCAAAUCUUAAUGCUAAAUCAACAUGGUUCAGAUGCAUUCAAAAGUGUGGUCAAAAAGUAUUUUAUAUCAGUUUUCUUACAGUAAUUUUCUAUGAAUUCCAAAAUUCAAAUGACAAGAUUCAUGCAUGAUCUUGCAAUUCAAAUUGUAUCAUUCUAAUGUAUUUGAACGUUAUGUAUCACUUUAUUUCUCAUUGUGCUCACUUUUUAGUGUUCUAAUUUUAUGUCUGCUUCACCAUCUUUCUGCAGGUAAUUGAUGAUGGGCUUUUUUUAGCUUCUGAAGAUUGGGGGAAAAAAAAAAUUUAUUAAUGGGUAUGUAUGUUGCUAUUGUGUGGAUUGUUAAUUGUUGUCAAAGAGUUGGUUUGGCCAUCCAAAAGAAAAAAAGAAAAAAAAAUAAGCAAAAAAAAAAAAACAAAAUGAAAACAUUAAAAAAAAAAUUGUUAAUGGGUAUGCUAUUCUAUAUAUAUAUAUUGCUAUUGUGUGGAUUGUUAAAUGGUGUUGGGUGUUUUUGGUUGGUGAUUGCUGUGAGAGGGAUGUGCUCCGUGGCUUGCGCGCGUUGUGGUCAUUAAAUGUUAUGUUAUAUCUUUUUCUGUCUUAAUGUAUUAUUAUUAUUAUUUUUAGUCUUUUCUCACAGUUGGUGAAACUAAAGAUCUUGUAAACCUGAAAUUUAGUGUGUUUGUAUGUGAAUUUGGGUGUUUUAAUUUUGUCUUAUGUAGUACAACUACACUAUAUUUAUGUUGUUACUGUUAUUUUCCAAUUUUUUGAAUAGUUUAUUGUGUAUAAAGUAAACCUUGAUCAAGGGAAAUGCGCAAUUUAUAUAUUUUUGAUUUUUUGAGUAUUGCCACAGAUACUUUUUAAGAUCGUUUAUUAAAAACAUAAUAAGUAUAUGUGCAUUUUAGCCUUGUGACACAUAAAUUUUUACGCUUAUAGACUUAUGUACAGUACAUGUGUGUUGCAUGCAAAUUAAUUUGACAGUACAAACUAACAAUGAUGUUGAGGUUAUGAGAGUCUAUAUAUUAUGAAAUUAAGGCCUUCUCACAAAAAUUUAACAGCAAUAGAAAUUUAAUCGGCUUUUAUAUUUGUGUAAAAUUUUAUUAGUUGCUUAUUUUCGAAAUAUUAAAUUGGUGUAUGUGACAUGUAGAAUCUUGCAGAGCUAAUAGUAUUGACAUUACAUUUUAGCCUAUUUAUAUAUAUAUAUAUAUAUUAUAUAUAUAUAUAUAUAUAAUUAUAUAUAUAUAUAUUAAUUUCGAUAGCCACACACAGCGGAAAGAUUCGUCUUUUUUCUUAUACGAAACAAAACUGAUGCUCCCCAAGAAUAAACUCGGUCUGAUGAAAUCUUUGUCAACGUAGAUGAGAGAGAGAGAGAGACCUAGAAGUCGUGAUGAUGUACUAGCGAGAGUUGUAACUUGAGUCCGUGGAUGGUUCUUCGAUCCUUGCGGCUAGAGAGUAAAUAAGCCCGAGCUGAGAGAGGAGAGAGAAAGUUUAUAGAGAGAGAGAGAGAGAGAGAGAGAGAGAGAGUUGAGCUAUGAUACUUUUACAAGUAUCACCAUCAUGGUACUAUUAGGUUUUAAGCCAUUGGAUCUACUUUUUGAUUAUUAAUAGCCCUUGGAUUAAAUACUAUUCCACCUACCACCACCUACCACCAUCUAUCACCAUCAUCUCAACCUCACAUCUCUCCAACCAAGGGCUAAAAACACACAAGUAUCACCCCCAUGAUACUUUUACAAGUAUUCUAGCCCUACUCUAUAUAUCUAUUAAACAUAAUGAAUCCACAAUAUUUCUUGCCACGUGGCAAGAAACCCUUCAUUCUUAGGUUAAUAGAUAAUAUCCAUCUCUUAUAUGAAUCCCCAAUAUAAAAUUUACGUUUCUUCUCCACUUCUAAAUGCUUAACCGUUUACCUCUCUAUAUUUAAUUACAUGCAUUAUAUUCUACCAAUUAGUGAGCUUUGUAACUCCAAUCCACUCCUCUCCACCAUUAAUCAUCACUUCUAAAUGCUAUGCUAAACCCUUCACCUCUCCACAUUUAAUUACAUGCAUCAUAUUCUAUCAAUUAGUAAGCUUUGUAACUCCAAUCCACUCCCCUCCACUAUUAAUCUCCACUUCUAAAUGCUCAAUCUUUCACCUCUCCACAUUUAAUUACAUGCAUUAUAUUUCACCAAUUAGUGAGCUUUGUAACUCCAAUCCACUCCCCUCCACCAUUAAUCCCCUCACCCCCUCUUUCUUGCAUGACAUGUUAUUUUUCAUGGAAAAAGGAACAUUAUCAUCUAAUCUCUCACCCCACACUUAUCUCCUUCUCUCUAUCUCAUUGUGUUAACAAAGAUUAUCAGGAUGAUGAAGAAGAAGAGCAUGCGAAGAACGUUGUCUCCUUCAAAAAAUAUCGUCCUGUAAAGUCCAGCCACGCCCCAUAUAAGUGCUCGCUGGGCUAGUCUGCACUGGAGUCGUCGCUCGCCGUGAACCGCCGCCGCCUCGGCUGCCUCCUCGCACGGCUCCCGCGCGCCGGCAACUAGGCCGAGGGGAGCGCCGUCCUAGCCUCCUCUUCGCGGGGAUGUUGCGCGGGAGCUCGCUUCUCAAGAAUUGCAGGAACUUUUUGGUAAAUCAAAUUGUUUAAGAAUUAGGGUUUCUGUGGUUGAUGUGAUGGUAAGACUGUGUCGGUUUAGAUAUCGCAGUUUGGUGAUGCAGAUGAGGUGUUUGUUCAUAGGUUACAAUGGAAAUCCAGAAAUGACUCGGCGCAGGGAGCAACUACCAGCUGAAAAUUAAGAAGAUGUAUGAGAUUUGGAUGAGAAAGAGAAGUGCUCCAAAAAAAUAUUAGUUUUUUUAAGAUUGAUGUUUUUUGUUUUAUUUUCAUAUUAUGAUCAUUUUUUUGAGUAGACACUGUUGUGGGCAAAAUUUCUUUCGUAGAUUAAAAAGUAUGAUGCGGAGAUUUAGAGCCUGAGACGCCAACCAAAAUUUUCUUAAGCCAGAUACGUUAAGUUAUUAUUUAUGUAUUUCAUAUGCUUCUAACUAUUAUUUUAUUUUUUUAACAACUGAAUUUAGUCAUGCAAAUUGACUGUGCUUAAACAUGGUAUAGCUUCCUAUAAGUUGUAAAUAUAAAUUUUAUUAAAAUAUUAAAAAUUUAUUUCUAUUAUCUACCCGCUGCAUCGCGCGGGUCUCUACACUAGUAUAUAUAUAUAUGAUGAGCCAUAAACUUAUGUCAAUUACUAGGGAUGCAAACGGAUCCGGGUUGGUGGAGCUCCCUGUCACGACAUAAAGAUUUUCUCCGCUAUUUUCGCUUUGCAAUCGCCCAAACUCCAAAGCGGACAUCUGACGGAGGUUUUGGCUUGGAAUCUUCUAGAAGCUUCUACGUGGAUCUCGAGGCUGAUGGCGCGGAUGCCGGAGGGUCAAGAGUCCCUUAGAGUUUCUAAGUAGUCAAUAAAUGUAUGACUCUUCGAGUUCUAUGCUUAUUUAUUAGGACCCUUGGGAGACCGUAGCCUAUUUAUUGGCCUCCUCUUUUGGCUUGUAGUUUCAUGCCAUUUGGCAUCUUGUCAUUUGCUUUAUGGGUGGCGAGUGGCCUAUAAAUAGUGUGGCCUCCACCCCCUCUCAUUUCAGAAUCCUUAUUUGUAUUCUCAAGUUUAAAGUAAUAGAAGAGCUUUCUUCUUAUCUUUCUCUUGUACUUAGUCUAGGACGAGUGAGGUCCUAACUUAGCAAGUAGAGAGGCAGGCUUGCUCACUUCGCGGAGGAAGGCGAGCGCCGCACGGGCUUUUGCGAGCAAAUUCGUUUAGUCCGUGACAGUUGGUAUCAAAGCCGGUUCGAGAAGGAGCCAUGUCGUCAUCCGAUGCCGCGGUUGUCGACGCUGGGGGUGAUCCCCCAAAGAAACACUCCAAGCAGAGCAAGGGCAAGGACACGCGAAUCACGAAGGAUUCCGCGUCGGUCGAGGACCGCCUUGCACUGUUGGAGGACAUUCUAUCGAAGGUGGGAGAAAGGUACACCGAAAUGGCCGAUACCUUUAACUCCUUCAAUGACGAUGUUCGCAGUAUGGAGGAGAGCGUCGCCACUGCCAUGGCGACCUUUCGAGGCGAGCUUGAGAAGCUCCAAGGCAACAUCACCCGUCGUGACGAGGAGCGGACGAGCUUGAUCGAGGAGCUAGUCACUCGAGUCGACGAGGUCGAGGACCUCAAGACGAGAGUGACUAUCCUUGAGAAGGCGGUGGCUCGAGGCGGUGAAACGCAGAAGGAGUACACCCCAAAGGUUCGCGUCCCUGAACCCCAAUGCUUAAAGGGUUCGCGCGACGAGAAGGAGAUAGACAAUUUCCUUUGGCACAUGGAGCGCUAUCUCAAGGCGCUAAAGAUGGAGGACGAGGAGGACAAGGUCCAGACCGCUUCCAUGUACCUCACCGACGACGCGAUGCUGUGGUGGCGUCGACGUUCCGCAGAGGCCGAGAAGGGCCAAUGCAAACUGGAUACUUGGGAGGACUUCGUGCGCAAACUGAAGGCACAGUUCUACCCCGAGCACGUCGAAUAUUUGGUGCGGAGGCAACUUCGAUGGCUCAAGCAUACAGGAUCCCUCAAGGAGUACGUCAAGGAGUACUCCAAACUGAUGCUUGCCAUCACCAGCAUGGCCGAGGAGGAUCGACUGUUCUGCUUCCUCGACGGUCUUCAACCGUGGGCUAACAAGGAGCUCGUGGCGAGAGACGUCAAAGACGUGAGCUCCGCUAUCGCUCAGGCGGAGAAGCUGCUGGAGUAUGACAAGCAGGAUUUCGCUCGUGGCAAACCAUCUAAGGCAGGCAAGGCCAAGGGUGGGGGAGACCGCCGUGAGCAGCGUGAUCACAAGGGCCAAGAGCAAAAAGGCCCCCUGCAGAAGAAGAAGAUCUCUUGCUAUAUCUGCGGGGGUGAUCACUGGGCGAGAGAUUGCCCAAAGAAGAAGACCGUCAACACCAUCCAAGCUAAGGAGAGCGAGGAACAAGCGGAGACGAAGAUGGGCGCGCUGUGACUCGUCAGAGCGAUCCAGGGGCAGGCAAGCAACAAACCGCUCAAGAAGGAGCUGCUGUUCGUGGACGUGACCCUCAACGGGAGGGCCACUCGUGCGCUCGUGGACACGGGAGCGACCCAUAACUUCAUCGCCGAGUCUGAGGCCAAACGGCUGGGCCUCACACUCGAGAAGGACACGAGCAAGAUCAAGGCUGUCAACUCUGUGGCACAGCCUGUCGUGGGAGUAGCCAAAGGGGUGACGAUCACUGUAGGACCCUGGUCGGGUACAGCGAACUUCACCGCCGCGACCAUCGACGACUUCAAAGUCAUUCUCGGCAUCGACUUUCUAGCUUCAUCGAAAGCGGUCCCGAUGCCGCAUCUCGGGGCCUUGAGCAUCAUGGAGGAGGCAGCCCCGUGCAUGGUCUUGGCUAGCCGCAGCGAGCCAGCGGCAACCCACACCCUCUCCGCUCUGCAACUGCGGAAGGGGGUAAAGCGCGGAGAGAUCACUUAUCUUGCGGCCAUCCGCGAGGUGAGCGACGAGGACCUCGAGGAGGAGGACCAUCCAGCGGUGAUCGAUGCUGUCCUGGGGGAGUUCAAGGACGUCAUGCCCCAGGAGUUGCCCAAGAGACUUCCACCCAGGCGGGAGGUGGACCAUGCGAUCGAGCUCGAGCCAGGAGCAAAGCCACCAGCAAAGGCACCAUACCGCAUGGCCCCGCCAGAGCUCGAGGAGUUGCAGCGUCAACUGAAGGACCUCCUCGAUGCGGGCUUCAUCAGGCCGUCGAAGGCACCCUACGGAGCACCAGUCUUGUUCCAAAGGAAGAGCGACGGAAGCCUGCGGCUCUGUAUUGACUACAGAGCGCUCAACAAGGUGACGGUAAAGAACAAGUACCCUAUUCCCCUUGUUGCUGACUUGUUUGACCAGCUUGGCGGAGCGAAGUUCUUCACCAAAUUGGACCUUCGCUCGGGGUACUACCAAGUCAGGAUCGCGGAGGGCGAUGAGGAGAAAACGGCAUGCGUGACGAGGUAUGGAGCCUACGAGUUCCUCGUCAUGCCAUUCGGUCUGACGAAUGCGCCGGCGACCUUCUGCACCCUGAUGAACAAGCUAUUCCACCCCUACCUCGACCGCUUCGUGGUAGUGUACCUCGACGACAUCGUCGUGUACAGCAACACUCUGGAGGAGCACGUCGAGCAUCUGCGGACGAUCUUCCAAGUGCUGCGGGAGAACCAGCUCUAUGUCAAAAGGGAGAAGUGCUCCUUUGCGAAGGAGGAGGUGCACUUCCUUGGCCACUGGAUUGGCCGAGGACAACUCCACAUGGACCAGCAGAAAGUGCGGGCGAUCUGCGAGUGGGAGGCGCCCACGACUGUGUCCGAGCUACGAUCCUUUCUCGGACUCGUCAACUACUAUCGCCGCUUCAUCGCGGGCUACUCUGCUCUAGCGGCCCCUUUGACGGAUCUGCUGAAGAAGACCCAGUCAUGGGACUGGACCCCUCGAUGCGCGGAGGCAUUCGAGGACUUAAAGCGGGCGUUGACGGAGGAUCCGGUGUUGCGGCUUCCCGACUGCAGCCGUCCAUUCGAGGUACAUACUGACGCCUCAGACUUUGCCAUUGGUGGUGUUCUCGUGCAGGACGGACACCCCAUCGCCUAUGAGAGCCGCAAGCUCAACGACACCGAGCGGCGAUAUACGGUGCAAGAGAAGGAGAUGACUGCCGUGGUGCACUGCCUUAGGACUUGGCGGCACUAUCUCCUUGGGAGCAAGUUCGUGGUGCGGACGGACAAUGUCGCGACGAGCUACUUCCUUACUCAGAAGAAGCUGUCACCCAAGCAGGCGAGGUGGCAGGACUUCCUGGCGGAGUUCGACAUGGAACUCAUGUACAAACCCGGGAAGGACAACCAAGUGGCUGACGCACUCAGCCGCAAGGCGGAACUGGCAGCGGUAUGCCAGAUCCAAGGCGCGAUUAGGGAGCGAAUCCGCGAAGGGACUUACGAAGACCCUGUGGCCCAAGGACUCGUGCGACUCGUCAAGGAGGGCAAGGCGCAGCGAUUUUGGCUCAGCGAUGGGCUGCUCCUCACCAAGGGGCGGCGCGUCUAUGUGCCCAGAUGGGGCAAUCUUCGUCGCGAGCUCAUGAAGGAGUGUCAUGACUCCAAUUGGGCCGGACAUCCAGGACAAAGGCGGAUAAUGGCGCUACUCGAGGCCGCCUACUAUUGGCCUCGCAUGCACGACGACGUGGAGGCGUACGUGCGGACCUGCCUUGUGUGCCAGCAGGACAAGUUGGAGCGCCAGAAUCCUGGGGGCCUCCUCGAGCCCCUGCCUACACCGACGCGUCCGUGGGAGACCAUUUUCAUGGACUUCAUCUCCGCCUUGCCCAAGGUGGGGACGUUGGGGUCCAUCCUCGUGGUGGUGGGCCGAUUCUCCACGUACGGGACUUUCAUCGCGGCACCAGCGGAUUGCACGGCGGAAAAGCGGCGCGGCUCUUCGUCAGCAAUGUGGUGAAGCUUUGGGGCGUCUCCGAAAGCAUUGUGAGUGACCGAGACCCUAGGUUUACGGGCAAGUUCUGGACAGAGGUGUUCCGGAUCUUGGGGUCGGAGUUGCUCUUUUCCACCAGUUUUCACCCACAGACGGACGGCCAGACGGAGCGGGUGAACGCCCUACUGGAGGAGUACCUGCGGCACUAUGUCAGUGCCAACCAGAAGGAUUGGGUGCAUCAUCUCGACGUGGCCCAGUUCUCCUACAAUCUGCGACGGAGCGAGUCAACCAACCUUAGCCCGUUCGAGCUUGCAACGGGGAGGCAACCACUCACUCCGCAUUCUGCUGCUGCGGGCGAGCAGGGCCGGAGCCCAAUGGCUCUCCAAUUCACUUCUCAUUUGCAGGAGAAGGGGGACAUUGCGAGAGCCUAUCUCGAGAAGGCGGCCUGCCGAAUGAAAAAGUGGGCCGAUGCUAAGCGGCGACCCUUGGAGUUUGCCGAGGGAGAUCGAGUGUUGAUCAAGCUGCAACCGCAACAAUUCAAGGCAUUUCGCAAAGUGCACCGUGCACUUUUGCAGAAGUACAAAGGACCUUUCACUGUCGUGAAGCGAGCGGGCAAGGCAGCCUACAAACUGCAACUCCCCGCCAACCUGAAGAUUCAUCCUGUCUUUCAUGCUAGUUGCCUGCGGCCCUACCAUGAAGACGUUGAGGACCCGAGCCGGGGCGUGUCGCAGCGCGCUCCCGCCACUAUGACCACUGCAAUCGACAAGGAGGUCGAAGCCUUGCUGGACACUCGCACCAUUCGGCGUCGCGGAGUCCCGAGGAGCGUCGAGUACCUUGUCAAGUGGAAGAAUCUCCCGCAUGGCGAGACAAGCUGGGAGAAGACCGACACUCUCUGGAAGUAUCAGAAGCUGCUCGAUGACUUCCAACACCAGCGCGCGACGAGGGCGUCUGCGCAAUAGGCGGGGGAGGUUGUCACGACAUAAAGAUUUUCUCCGCUAUUUUCGCUUUGCAAUCGCCCAAACUCCAAAGCGGAUAUCUGACGAAGGUUUUGGCUUGGAAUCUUCUAGAAGCUUCUACGCGGAUCUCGAGGCUGAUGGCGCGGAUGCCGGAGGGUCAAGAGUCCCUUAGAGUUUCUAGGUAGUCAAUAAAUGUAUGACUCUUUGUCACGCCCGGGUACCAGCGGAAGCAUACCCGGUCGCGUGCACAGACCCGCCGUGUACACCACAACUCAAGUAUACACAAGGCGUCUACAAACCAUAUAGUAAAAGCAUAUAAUUCUAACUAGGUAAUCAGAGCAAGACUUUUAAGCUUAAACUUAUCCAAACCCUUUAGAAUGUGUAGGGCAGUUUUAUGUACCUUUUCCCACGUUCAAAUUUCGUAAUUGACCAAAUUCGAAGCAUUACAAUUGAUAAUGCAUUUGCGAUGCACUUUUCCAUUUCUAGUUACUUACUUACUCUAGUAACUUAUCAAAAACCUUUCAAUAGUUUUGCAAAAGUCAUAGACCAGUUCCAAAAGCCGAUCCACCCCUCGAACUUACCAAGAGGCUCAAGAUUCAGUAUAUUACAUUCACCCCUCCUAAAAAGAGGUUUCGUCCGCGAAACUAGAACUGAAUCCUCAGUCAACAUCAUUUUCUCACCAUUAUAAGUUCCUCUUUCUUCCAUGAAAUCCAUGAUUUUAUUGGAUGAAGUCUUUAAUGGAUAAAGUUCCAUUUCAACUUUUUCUAAUGGUUCGAGGACUAUAUCUAACCUUUCUCAUGUGAAAGGGGUUUAAUCAUUCAUUCGAUAAGAAGAAUUCCAAGGAUACUCUCUUCAAUAGUGCUUAGUAGUUACCCUUGGUACUUAUCCUGAGUUCCGAAGAAUUAUCAUAUAUUAGCAGUGGAAUUCUUAAUCAUCCACUGAUUCUCAAAAGUCAAAACUCUUUUAAAAUAUUGCACUCCCAGUGCAAUUCCAUUCCCUAGGUUACCUUUGAUAUACAACUUGUGUUUUACAAGGUGAUCAAAUACCAAUGAUUCCUUUGCAUUAUCCAGCAGUCAUAACUUUCUCAUACAUCUUGUAGUUAUUAUAUUCCUCAAUUAUAACUAGUUUGAUAAUGACUAGUUAUUCCUGGUAGUCCCUUUUCAAUAGCAAAUUGAGAUUGAUUAUCCAUCAAUCCAUUAAAGGUGGAUUCCUGAUUAACUAUUCAGCAUUAUAUCCCAAUACCUUAGGAUCACAUGUCAUUUUGCCACUAGGCGAGAAUCCCAAUUCACAUUAAUGGAUGCUGCUCCACAUCAAUACCUAUGUUCAGAUAAAUUCCAUUAAUGCUGUCUCUACAGCUUUACGGCUUUCCUUUACACCAAUCAUAAAGUAAAGCAUGACCAUUUCAUCACUGGAAAAUUUUCCUCAUAUACUCAAAUCAUUUUAUGCAAGCUUAAGUUGGAGCUUUGCUUCUACCAAAAAUCGCUUGUGACAUCACUAUCUGCUCCUGUAAGUAGAUCAAUUUAGAUAAACUUCUUUGAUACUAUUCUGAGAGUGUGAGGCUCAAAGUAUUCAUUGUCCCAAAUCCAAUUUAGGCAAUAGAGGGGAAUCAAUUUAUACUUCACCCAUAAGUUCUCUAUUGCUGUUACUCUAUAUAUUUUUCCAUAAGUAGGGAAGAACUCUGAACAAAACCUUUCGUCAACUCACAAUUAAAGCAUCAUCAUUUGCUUUCGAACUGUAUGAGAUUUAUCCUGAUAUCACUAUCAGUCAAGAUAUUAAUUCUCAAAGAUUAACCUCAUGCAGUUUGUUCCCUGAAGCUUAAUUCCAAUUAUACAUAACUAGAAUCAGAAGAGAAAGAAACAAGUAGCUGGGUAAUCUCUUUUUCAAUAUUCUAAGAUGCUUAGUUCCAUUAGGAGAGUCUCAUCUCACUCCUUUUAAUUCAUCUUCCUGUUUAGUCAAUAUCUGCCUUGCAGGAUUCACCGAACAAACAACUGGAUCAAUCCUUCAUAACCUUUUUCUAUCAUAGAAGACUGCAGCUUCCUCAGAUUGCUACUCAAUCUAUAAUAUGCAUCCAAUACUACAGGCUGAUCAAAAGAUUAUCAGCUCUUGACUUAAUUUAACCAUUAAUUGUGUUCCAAUUAAAAUCACGAUAUUCGACACAUAGUCGAAUAGCUCAUUUAAUCUCACCACAAGUGACAUUAUUUCACGAAAAUGAAGCACUAGGCAUAAAACAUUCUCUAUUCAACAAGUUCACAAUUUGUGACUUGUUUAGGAAUAGCACACAACCACUACUCAAGAACUACCCUUCACUUUGAGGGUUCUUACAAUUUCACAGUAUCAGCCAAUUAGGCUCCACCCUUUCUAUGAUUACCUAAUUUAGGUAAAAUGAUCAUUCUCGCAGUCAGCGAGGCUAAACCCUUCAAGAUGCAUUGCAUAAUGUUCAAAGUUCCAAGGCGAAUCAAUUUAGUUCGCACAAACCAUGGUAUAAAGUAUCUCCCAACUUAAUUGUAAUCAAAACCACUCUAUCAUAGGUAAGGCCAAUCCAUUUGUUGGCAUACACUAAGCCUUCUCAUUAGGCAGAGCGUCAAGUAGACCAUUCUAUUCAAUCAAUCCUACAUACAUGCAAAAAGGAGGGAAUUGAUAUUAAUCAACUCGGCCAACAGCCGAUCAAAAAUGCAACUAAAGCCAUCAUAAUAAUCAUGAUCGAAUUAUAGAAACAUUACACAAUGUACUACCUGCAAUAGUCAUCCCCGCCGUCGUAUCUGGCUUUAUGAUUCCAUCGGCGUACCUCCACUAGGUACUUUUUGCAACGAAGUCGGUGCAGAUACCUUAGUCAACAUGUUAUUCCUUGGGCACUCAGAACGAAAAUGGCCCUCCUGACCACAUACAAAACACUUUCCUUUCCGCUGAGGACACUUUGGGGGAACAUGCGGACCUCCACAAAUUACACAUGGCCGUGGUGCUCGACCACUCGAUCUUCUUUGCUUAGAAAAAGAAUCACGUUUCCAAAGUUGAUUCUUCUUUAAUUUUCUUGAUGAUUCUCCAACAUGUAAUUGAUCGCCCUUGGUAGCCUCUUUGGCUCCUUCAGUGCAUUCCACACCUUUUCUUACGGUCAAAGUACGAUCCGAAACCUCGUAGAAUUUCUUGAGAUCAGCCAUCUGUUGAAUCAACAGGUUCUCCAACCGUCUGAUUCCUUCAUCCUGUCGGCGCAAAGCCUCGGCUUGAAGUAGCGUCACAUUCGCUUGUCGCUCCACCACUCCAACUAGAGUAGCCAGCUGUUCUUUUAAUUCCUGAACCUCGUUAGAUUCAGAAGGUUCAUGUCUUUCUGGCUCAGUUGCAUCAGUUGCCGUAGGGUGCAUCUUUGACAUUGCAAGCUGCAACAAACAAAAUAGGCACAGGUUAAAACAACCCAUGCUAUCGUAGCCCCACUCAUAAUUGUAAAAUCCCAAUCAUGCGAAAGUAAUGAAAUGUCCGCCCACUAUUCCCCAAUAUCACGUUGUCGGCCGCCAACGUGAUUUUUGGAAGAACAUAGAGGUUAUUCAUUUCAAUCGAACUCCAACAAUUUUGGAGUUAUAAGUAUAACCCAAUCAUAAUACUUUCGCUCAACAUAGUCGCAAAAGACCCCGUCUCUCACGCUCCUAAUCCUGAUCAUCCAACUGGCCUAAGGUUUACUAGGUCCACUAAGACUCAACCCUAGGCUCUGAUACCACUAUAAUCUGUCACGCCCGGGUACCAGCGGAAGCAUAUCCGGUCGCGUGCACAGACCCGCCGUGUACACCACAACUCAAGUAUACACAAGGCGUCUACAAACCAUAUAGUAAAAGCAUAUAAUUCUAACUAGGUAAUCAGAGCAAGACUUUUAAGCUUAAACUUAUACAAUCCAAACCUUAAAACAGGAAAUAAGAACAAAGUACGAUUUACAAAAACUUAAUAUACAUCUCUGUACUAAACUAUAUAAACUGCUGGAGGUGGUCUAAUACACGUCCAAAAAGGCGCUAGCUAGCCGUUGACCCCUCGCCAGGAACCCUAGCCUUUCUCGCUGUAGAAGGCUCUGUAAAAACAACAACAAAGAGGGCGUGAGAACUAUUAAACAAUAGUUCCCAGUGGGUAAGCCGCCGAAAGUGGCGAAGUACACCACUAGGUCAACUGUGGCACGAGUAGAUAGCAAUAAAUAAGCGAGUAAAAUGCAGAUAAUACAAUAAGCAAUUACAUUCAACAGAUAUUAAAGUAACUACUCAUGCUAUUUGCUCAACAAUAAAUAUACAUCAAUAAAUUGCAGGUAUCAAUUAUCAUGAUAGAUUCCAUCAAUCAUAUUACUUGACAAUUUAACCAAACAUAUACCAGAUUGUAUGCAAAAUAAUUCACUUUACCGAAAAUUACAGACGAUAUAAUGUAAUUACCUUUUUCAUUAGCAAGAAAUAAACAUAAUGUCAUUCAUUAUGUUGCUAACCAAUCAUGAUGUCAACUUCUAGGUUAUUCAUCGCUAGGCUCACUUUAGAUGUCAACUUUCUAGUAUGUUCAUCAAUAAGUUCACUUAACCAAAGACAUAAAGUAACUGUACUACUAUGUCCAGCUAAGGUUAAAGUACUUGACAUAACCCAAUUUUCAACAGACUUACACAAGGUAAGUUCAAGCCGCGCCGUGCCUAAUGGCCCCGUGGUAGUCAACAUCCCCACUCGAGGAAUGAGCCUCCCCCACGGCAUUCCAUUUCGGCGCCCACUUCGUACAUUUGCGAGCAUCUGUCACUAAGCUGUUCGGGAGUGCUGGCUUGGGGGGGAGCGACCCCGCAAGCGUGUGCAAACGCGCACAAUGGCAUGCAAGCCGUAGUCCAUAGUACCAGUCUCACAACAACAUCAUGUCCCUGACAUGGAAUCUCAACUCAAGCCACUCCGGAACGCGGGGCUUGGGGGGCGCGACCCCCGCAAGCAUGUACGAAAGAGCAUAAUGGCAUGCUAGCUAUAGUCCAGGGUACAAAUAUCUCAACGACAUCAUGUCUCUGACAUGGAAUCUCAACUCGACCCAAGGUCGGCACUGUAGUACCCAAUCAUAAGUCACUAUCAACAACUUGUUGAUAUGAUUCUACCAAUAACUAGUAUAACUUGACAAGUUAAGGCUUUACAUCACACUCGUGAUUCUAUCAGGCUAUACCUGGUCAGUGAUUCACAACCUCUCACUACUCCUUACACAGAAGGAAAGUGGUUUACUAAUGUUCUGUUCAAAGACUCAUGGCACAUAUCCUGUAGUCCAAUAAAUCUCUACUCGACUAUACAAGUAUGUUAUCAUAUCCAAAUCUAGUUAUCUACUAGAUUAUAUUCAGUUGUAUAACAUUCGAGUUAUGCUUUCAUGCUCAAUUCUAGUUGUUUAACUAGAUCAUAUAUCGUAACAUGAAUUUCAAACAAAUCUAUCAUGUGAAAGUAGGAAUUAACAGGUCAAUACAAGUAAGGAAAAUAAACGACGGAACACUCUUCACAUGAUCUCUAUGCCAUUCACGAUGUUACCAUGAUAUGAGCAUACUCAAAUAAUUACCUUUACGUGAUGUAUUCAGAGUUUAACCAAGAUACUAAUCAUAUCAAUUGGCAUAGUCCAAUUCUAGGUACAUCGUUCCCUUUUAUUGCUCAGCUGAGCUAAAUGGUACCUUCACGAUUUUACCAUCAUAUCUACUUGAAUGACAACCAGUCCAAUUAUUUAUGCGAGCUACGAAUAUCACGAAUAUAUAGUAAUCCAACAGAUAACCAUGUGGAGGGAACUAAUCAUGAGUUUUCCAGUACUGUUAGGAAUGCGAUCAUAUCCAAUAUGAUCUACACAUGAAUGCGUGUCUUAAUGCCAUGAACUAUACAUAUAUUCACAAGAAUACGUAAUAGCUUCAACUCAUAUGUCAAAGGAAACAUAGAGGGAAAUUCACCCAUUUCGGGAAAGUCCGACCCACCUAUCACCAAGCUCAAUCCAGCCAAAAGGAGUCCCGAACCCUGCUCAACGGAGUCUCGACGCUGCUGAAAACGAAACACGAAAAGCGCAUCAAAACUACGGCCGAAAUGUCCAAUUUCGGUACAAUUUGCACUUAGUACAAAGUAAUAACUUGAAUCCCUGUUUUGGGUUCAGUUAAUACCUCAAAUUAAGCUUCUAAAAGCCUUUACACAUCAGCCGGAGAUACUCCGAAAGUCCGUUGCAAGCUCGCUGCGAACAAUUUCCAAAACGGCAUCAUAGUCGUCAAGUAUCAAUAGAUAUAGUCGGAAUCUUGAAAAUUCAGUUUCCUCACAGCAAUUUCAGCUUACCUGUAGUUGGAACACCUUCCAAACCAGCCUCCCAGGUCACCAAAAGAGUUUAAUGUGAUUCGCAAACCUGCUGGGAAGAGAAAAGCUCAAACUGCAUCAAUUCGCUCGAUUGAUCCGCGUAUAGGCCGAAAUAACUUCAUAAAUAAUGGAACAUCUCCAAUAAGCUUCAAAGUAGCUUAGCCCAGGUCUAAGGAGGUUCAAUCACAGCUAAUUAACUCAUAUUUAAUAGCUGAAUUCUCAGUUUAAGUCAGUUGGAAGCAAAAACUCAAAAUCACAAAUCAAAUCGACGAAUAGAACGCCGAUAACGGAAAAAUCGAGUCGUUUACCUUUUCAAGCUUCCAACCAGCAACUCACUGGUUUGGUGCUGCGAAAAACCUUCUAAAAUACCCUCUCACACGUCCACAAAGGCUCAGCGACACUCGCCAGCAGCAAAGAACAAGCGAGGCGACGAAAUCGAGCUAAAUCAUUGAUUUCAAUGUAGAGAGAGAAAACUUCUAGAGAGAGAGGGAGAGAAGGUGAAGGAAACCCUUCUCUGGACUCUAGCAACAUCCACAGAGCUCCUGGAGUCGUCCUGGGAUCAAAUAGAUAGGGAUAGAAUGUGAAAUUACCAAAAAACCCUUGCUGCCACGUUUCUGGCAUUGUGUACCGGUACACGAUGUGGCUGUACCGGUACAGCAAGCAGAAAAACACUGAUUUCGCCAGAUUAAUGCACUUUCUUACUUUUAACCCUCCAAUCACUCUCUAACUUGUCCAAAAAACUUAUCCAAACCCUUUAGAAUGUGUAGGGCAGUUUUAUGUACCUUUUCCCACGUUCAAAUUUCGUAAUUGACCAAAUUCGAAGCAUUACAAUUGAUAAUGCAUUUGCGAUGCACUUUUCCAUUCCUAGUUACUUACUUACUCUAGUAACUUAUCAAAAACCUUUCAAUAGUUUUGCAAAAGUCAUAGACCAGUUCCAAAAGCCGAUCCACCCCUCGAACUUACCAAGAGGCUCAAGAUUCAGUAUAUUACACUCUUCGAGUUCUAUGCUUAUUUAUUAUGACCCUUGGGAGACCGUAGCCUAUUUAUUGGCCUCCCCUUUUGGAUUGUAGUUUCAUGCCAUUUGGCAUCUUGUCAUUUGCUUUAUGGGUGGCGAGUGGCCUAUAAAUAGUGUGGCCUCCACCCCCUCUCAUUUCAGAAUCCUCAUUUGUAUUCUCAAGUUUAAAGUAAUAGAAGAGCUUUCUUCUUAUCUCUCUCUUGUACUUAGUUUAGGGCAAGUGAGGUCCUAACUUAGCAAGUAGAGAGGCAGGCUUGCUCACUUCGCGGAGGAAGGCGAGCGCCGCACGGGCUUUUGCGAGCAAAUUCGUUUAGUCCGUGACAUCCCGCCCCGAUCCGCCCCGAUGGGGGCAGUAAAUGGGAGAAAAUAAACGGAUUCGAGGCAAGAAACGGGGUAAGUUUUAUGAUCCGAGACGGAUUCGCGGUAGGAAACGGGAGAAAUUUUGAUCCGUCCCGAAUCCGCCCCGAAUCCGCCCCGCCAUGAUCUGUCCCGAAUCCGUCCUGAAUCCGCCCCGAAUCCGCCCCGAAUAUUAUUUGUAUUUUUAAAAAAUAUUUCUAAACAAUAAUAUAUUUACAAAAAAAGUUCAAAAUACAAAUAAGUUAUUACUCUCAUGUUCAAAAUACAAAUAAGUUAUUACUCUCAUUUUUAAUGUAUUUGAAACAUUUGAAUUUUGUUUUGAAUUGUGAUUGAUAUUUUUAAUUUUUACCAUUAAUAUUGUUAAAUUAUAUAUACAAUAUUAUUAAAAAUUAUUAAUUUAUAUUUUACAAAAUAUUAAUAAUAUUAUAAUUUUAUAAAAAAAUAUUAGUUGACGGGGCGGAUUCAGGGCGCCCGCGGAAGGCGGGUUACGAGGCGGGGCGGAUUAUGAGAUGUAUUUUUUAACCCGUCACGAAUUUGGGGCGGAAGGCGGGGCGGAAUUUUGCUAGUCAGGGCGGGAGGCGGGGCGGGUCUCCCGCCCCCAGAUUCGCCCCGUUUGCAUCCCUAUCAAUUACUAUUAGCUUCCGCAAAAUUCUGACAUGUCACGUAUACCAAUUUUAAUUAUGUCAAACCGGUUUGAGGCCAAUAUUUUACCUAUACACGCGAUGUCAUCAAAUUCAAUGAACCUCAUAUGUUGCGAAAUUUUAUGAGACUUGUAUCAAACUAAAGCAGUUUGAGACCGAGAUAUAUACUAUCCGUAUGCAUGGACUUAUAACAUUCACGUGGUACACUUAUUCAUGCGGAUUUUGUUCACGGCUUGUUUGAUAAUAGAUACGAAUUAGAGAGUUGAGCUGAAAUGGUAUUGAUAGUAAACGGACUAUAUUGUCACUAAUUAAUUUGUUUUCGCUAAUGGAGCCUCCAAAUCAACGAUCGGUAUCGUUGAACAUAAUAUAUACCAAUUGAAGUAUUUAGAAAUAAAAUUUUAAUUCUUUUCGAUAUAAUUAACCUAAUGAUUAAAAAAUUUCAGAAUUUAUAAUUUUAAUAGUCGAUAUCAGACGUUUUCUCGUUUAAUAGUUUAAAAAUAUUCAAAUUAAUUGAAUUUUGAUUUGAAAAUUUUUUAAACUAUUUAGAAUAAGAUCUACAUUCUGGAUCUUGAUUACAAGAUUCCUAUCAUCACUUUUUAAAGAAUAUUUGUUUUCAGUCGUUAUUUUUAUGCCCACUUGAUGGACAAAAAAAUAAUAUCGAAAAAGUAUGAAAUUUAAUUUUUAGAUGCUUUAAGUGGUAUAGAUCAUAUUCAACGGUGCCAAUCAUCAAUUUGGAUGCUCCAUCAUUAAAAACAAAUAAAUGACAAUGAAAUCCGUUUGCUACCAGUAGCAUUCCAGUUCAACUCACAAAUUAGAAUGCUAACAUAUAUAUAUAUAUAUAUAUAUAUAUAUAUAUAUAUAUAUAUAUAUAUAUAUAUAUAUAUAUAAGGGUCGCGCUACUAUACUUAUUAGUGUACGCAUCGCUCUCGUACUCAUAAAUCAUUUCGAUGAUAGAACUUCCGAAUCGACGAUCCAUAUCGUUAUGUUAUUUACAGCAUUUAAAACUUCUAGAAUCAAAUUUUAUAAUUUUUCGACAUCAUUUACCUUAAGAUCAAGAGGUCACAAAUUUUUGAUAAUUUUUAAUGGUCGAUAUGAAUACAUGCUAGUUUAACGGUGUAAAGAGAAUGAAAUUUAUUGAAUUUUUGAUAAAAAAUUCUAUUCACUACCUAAAUAAAGAUCAAUAACUCCGAUCUUGAAUUGAAGGAUCCGAUCAUCCUUUUUUAGGACGUCGUUCGAUUUUGACCGUUCAUUUUAUCCCCGCUUGAUGGACUUUAUUAUGAUUUCAAAAAUUUACGAAAUUUAUUUCCUAGAAGUUUCAAAUACUUUAGAUCAUAUUUAACGGAGUGAAUCGCCGAUUCGGAAGCUCCAUCAUCGAAAACAACUUUAUGAUACGAGGCUCUAAUGCUCAUAAUAAUAGUAGUGACGGCCUCUCUUCUCUCUCUAAUAUAUAUAUAAAAGAAGUUGCUCCAACUAUUUAACUUAAACUUAAUUUUGUUGGAUUCGAUCCCAUUAACAAAACACAUUUUGGUCACUAAUAAUAUUUAGUGAAGCCUUAACCCAGCAGGUUUCUUUUUUUUUUGAGAGAUUGGUAGCACGCUAUCCGUUUCGUUAAUUUCAUUUAAAAAUAAACUUAGUUAGAAAUGUUAAUAAACUAGGAUUUAAAUUUGGGCCUCGGAUACCAACCACCAAGCUCUUAGAAACGGUCGGUAACCCAGCAGGUUUCAGAACAACUUCCGAGGGAGUUGCUAUCUAGAGAAGGUAGUAUUUGUUGUCAAUGUUCACUGACUCAAGUCAAUAAGAAAGUAUAGAUUAGUAUUGGUAUUAUUUGUCGACUUGUGCCGGGACAUUUUAUAUCUUAAUUAUAAGAAAAGAUUAUAUAUAUAUAUAAGGGUGGCUAAUUGUGUCAAUUAUUAUAUAUAUUAUAUUAUAUCAUUAUCAGGGUAAAUAGCACGUUUGGUUCUCAAACUAUGAGUCGAGUGACGUUUUGGUCAUCAAACUCUAAUUUAUUAUAAUUUCUGAUUCAAACUUUUUUAGAAGUUUUACAAUUGAAUCCUCCCGUUAGCUUGUCCAGUACCAUCUGUACUCAAAAUGCAUUUUCUUUAUUUACAACUCAAUUUAUAUAAUUAACUAAAUAUUAACGUAUUGUUAAUAUAGAAGUGAUAAAGCAGUAUUACGAUUAAUGAUGCGUCAAUAAUUACGAUGUUAUAUUACUUUUACAUCAACGAUAUGUACGGUUCGAGGACCAAAGCAUCACAUACCUCAUAGUUUGAGGACUGCGUAAUUUGCCCUUAUAUAUAUCAUUAUUAUUUUACGGUAGUUGAGUAGAUUAUAAACAAUAUUGCAUGGCAAGUUGCAUGAGUAGGUUCUAAAACAAUGGCAAGUUGCACCUCUUCUUGUCCAUGCUUAAUAGAUGCCUCCUAUGUUUGUCCCAUGUAAGAGCAAUGCAUCCAAUGGUCGGAUCAAUUUAAUCGCACUAGUUUUAUCACAAUUCUAUUUUUUUUAAUACUAAAAUUUCAUAAAAAUUCUUUCGAUCCUUGGAUAUAGGUGGGCUGUAAUUUAAAUUUACACGCCUAUUUUGGGAGUAUGUAUAGUUAGAUGUACACUUUAAAAAAGAUGUAUGAUUUACAUUUCAUCAUUUCAAAUAAGAUUUACAAAAUUUCUUAAAUUUUUAAAAUUUUAAAAAAAAGUUGACAAGACCAAGUCUCUGGAUUGAGAUGUGCAUAAUAUACGCCACCCUUUUUGAUACAUACAAAGAGCAGUGCUAGUAAAAAAACAAAAUCUUCAAAUUUUUAAUUAAAAAAGAAUAAUAAUAAAAUAAGUGAGUAUUAGGCUUAGGCUUUCUUUGGUAUUGCGAGUAGAUUGUUUAUGUGCGGUGAGAAAGUACGUUGGAAAAAUAUCCUAUUUGUUUCCGUACGUAUUUUCUGCGGUCCCACUGGAGAACACAAAAGCAUAUCCCUAUAUCUUUUUUCUCAACUCCAUUUUAUCUAAUAGCGUUAGAUAGACCUCAAUAACAAACUAAGGCUUAGUUUGGUAUUGAGCCUAUCUAACGCUAUUAGAUAAAAUGGAGUUGUGGAAAAAACAUAUAGGGAUAUGCUUUUGCGUUCUACGGUGGGACCGUAGAAAAUAUAUCGUAACCGACUCAUUACGAUAUACAGAACACAAUAUUUUUUUGAGAAUAGGUACGUAGCACGCUACCUUCUUCAGUCAUUGGAAGGAUGAGUUAGGCUAUAGGGGUGAAGCAGCCAGGGCCUCAAGGCAGAAUGACACGAAAAAAAACGAUCAGCUGCUUGAGUCUUUCCACUACCGAAUGUCUUUCCGUACGAACGCAAUAUUAUGUACGGAAACAAACAGGAUAUUUUUCCAACGUAGUUUCUCAUCGCACGUAAUGCAAUCUCCCCACAAUCCCAAACGAAGCCUUAUUAGACGCGCGGUAGAAAGAAAGCAUACAUUAUUGGCGUAUAGACAACAUUUGCUUGAUAAUAUAUUUUAAAAAGGAUAAUUGCCUAUAUACCCCUCAAAACUUUGAAAAAAUCUUAUUUAUUCCUAUUUUGUUUUUCUUUCUAAUAUACCCCUUAUAUGUUCCUCCAUUAUUUCAAAAUACCCCUACAGUUAGAAUCCGUUAAAUUAAUUUGGGUUAAACAUGAGUUAAAUAUCUAUUAUAGUUAAAAAAAAUUGAAAAUGUCACUUUUGCCCUUAAUUUAAGGGCAAAUAAAAAAAGCUGGUAAUGAUAGAAUGAUAUAUUUGAAAAUAUCAAAAAAUAAAAUAUUUUUUUGUGCCCUAAGGACAAGAUAGUAUUUGUCGUCAUUGUUCAUUGAGUCAAGAAGUCAAUAAGAUAAUAUAGAUUAGUAAUGGUAUUAUUUGUCGGCUCGUACCAUUUCAUAUUACCUAAUUAUAAUAAAAGAUUGUAUAUAUAUAUAUGCGCGCAGAUACAGACGAUCGAGGGCGUAGUUGAGUCAAUCUAUCCACAUCAGUGCAUGUUUGGUCCUCAAACUAUGAGUCGUCUGAUACUGUGAUUCUCAAAUUUUAAUUUGUUGUUAUUUAUAGUCUGAACUUUUAGAAUUUUAUAAUUAAGUCGAUCAUAUAAUCCAAUUCUGAUUAACUAAAUAUUGAUGUAUUGUUAAUGCAGAAAUAAUUUAGUAGUAUUUGUCAUUAAUGAUGCGCAAGUAAUAACGACCUUGUCUUAGUUUUACAUCAACGGUGCGUUUGAGGACCUAAAUAUCACGUGUCUCAUAAUUUGAGAAUUAAACGUGUAAUUUGUCCUUAUAUCAUUAUUAUGUUUUUUCGGUCGUUGAAUAGAUUAUAAACAAUGCCAACACUACAGUUAGCAUCCACGUUCAUCUUCCAUUCCAUCCACAGAGUGCAGCCGGCUUCUACCCCGCGUUCAUCUUCCAUUUCAUCCCACCGCUUCCAGCCCUGCUGUUGCCGUCCACCGGUGGAGUGUUUGCCGGCUUCCAACCGCGCAGUUGGUGUCGAAGUUUCCAAAAACCCAUCGCUUCCAACCCCGCUGUUGCCGUCCACGUUGCUGAGUGCCUACCGAUUCGGAUCCCACCGUUGCUAUCCAUCUAUCUUGGUGAGUGCCCAUAUAUAUGAAGGAAACUUCAAAACUCCUAUGUGGUUUCGUAUUUUUUUUUAUUUUAGUACUAUAUGGUUAAAAAUGUAUUAAGUUAUUUAUAGUUCGCACUUUCUCACUUUAGUACUAUGUGGUUUAAAGUAUAUCAAGUUAGUAUUCUGUGGUUUCAUUUUUAUAUCAAGUUAGUAACAUGUGGUUUUAUUUUUCUCUUUUUAUUAUUUAUUUCGGGGUUUUUUUUUUCGUUAAAAGAGUGACAAAGUUAAAACUAAAGGAUUCUAAAAUGAAUAUUCAAUAAAUCUAAAUAAGAUAUCUAAAGUUUUUUGUAUAUAAUUUAACAAAAUAUUAAAUCACAAGGUAUUAAAGUAAGAAAGUACGAAACCACAUGAUACUAAUUUGAUACACUUUAAACAAUAUGGUACUAAAGUGAGAAAGUACAAAACCAUAAGAUACUAACUUGAUACACUUUAAACCAUAUGAUACGAGAAAGUGCGAAACCACGUGAGGGUAUUUAAAGUUUUUCCUAAAUUAAAUAACAAUUCUUUUCUUCUUAGCCUUCAUUUAGCCGUAAAUGGAGUGUUGUUUGGAUUCUUUAUGCACUUCUCAUCCGAUCGGCACCACGGGAGCGGAGCCUUCCCCUUCCAACACAUACUCUUUUUCUUUUUUUUUUACCUACACAAAUUAUUUUUUAAAAUUUAUCUUACCGUAACAUCCCAAUAAUCUCAUAUCGAAUAAAAAAUAAUUUUAAUUGAAAUAUAUAAGAUCUUUCACACUAAUAAUAAUAAUCGAACUUAAAUAUUUUGACCGCUAGCUAAGGCCUAACGAGUUAUUAUUGUUAACUUAUCGAGUUGUUACAAUUAAUAUCAGAACCAUAUACCAGUCGAAAGUAUAAGAGCUAAGUGUAUACAGGACAAACUACUACACUAAUGGAUUUGGUGGGAGCCACCUAAAUCUGGCAAUCUUGAUCCAAACCUGUAGGUACCCGCGGGUUAUCCAUAAAUUUACGGGUAUGGGUAUCAACUUUUCAAACCCAAAAAAUUACGGGUAAAAUGGAUAGUAACCGACUAAGCAGUGAGCAUUUUGGGUAACUAUCUGGUAUCCGCACAUAUAUUUUUUAAUUACAAAAUAAAUUUUCUUAAUUAAUAUAUACUUUUUAUUUAUUCAUCCUAAAAAUCCUAACCCUAAUUUUUUAUUGCGAUUCUUUUAUAUUAUGAAAUAUUUGUGCUUUAAGAUUUUAAAUAUUUUUAUUGUAUGUUAUAAUAUUUUAAACAAUGAGUUAUAUUAUGCCUUUAAAACUUAUAUAUAUAUGCUUUGCAUUUAAAAAAUACAUGAGCAACAAAAAAAGAAUUGUGAGUAACCUGCAUAUACAUCCGCCCACCCGCGAGCGGGUAUGGAAAAAGAUGUUGGCUACACAAAAUUUGUGGAUAAAUUUUAUCCAUGUCCAAGUAACCCGCUGGUAUAAUAAUCCGCCUGCGAGUUACCCAACCCGCCUGUUUGCCAAGCCACAUUUAGAAUCUCACAUUGUCUAAUAAUUCUUUAUUGGGUUUGGACAUGAAGAGAACAUCAGGAUCUUACAAGGUGACAUACUAAUAGAUUUGAUGGGAGUCACCGCUUGAAUCAAUAGGAGUCACCUCUAGAAUUUCAUAUCACCUAUUUAUUUUUUUAUCGGAUUUGGAUCUGAAGAAAAGGAGAGUCUAUAACGCCGGUGGAAAAAUAAUUCUAAUUGGAAUAUACGAGACCUCGCAUGCUAAUAAUAAUCAUAAGGUUUAAAAUAUUUUGACUCUCGGUUUGAGCCUAAAAAUUUAUUAUUAUUAUUAUUGUUCGCGGAUUGGAUCGUUAUACGCACCGUAAAAAUUUCGGCGAAUCAUGAUAUAAAAUCCGAUAAGAUUGGAUCGUUAUACGCACCGUAAAAGUUUAGUAUGAAUCGCUUAGAAUUCGAACUUGGGUCUCGAAUAUCAACAACCGACGCUUUGCCACUUGCUCUAGGGACGGCCAGUUGUUUGCUCAUUGCUAUUCUUAUUACAAGAGUGUACCAAUGCAUCUCUUCUUGGCCUUGCCUAUAGAUGCCUCCUGUUAGAUGGGUGAGCUGUAAUUAAAAUAUACAUUCCUCUUUUUUGGUAUACAAAUAGCUAAUAUACACUCCAAAUAAAAAUGUAUAAUCUAUAUCCCAUCAUUCUAAUAUAUUUACAAAAAAUUUAAAAUUUUAAUAUAUUUUUAAAAAGGUUGACAUGACAAAAGGCCUCGGAUGAAGGUGUGUGUACUACACACCAUUUUUUGAGGUAUAUAAAUAGCAUUGCUAAAAAAAAAUAAUUAAAAAUUUUAGUAAAAAAAAAAAUAAUAAAUGCACUUUUUUUCAAGCAGGAUAUAUCCCUCUUUAAUCAAAUAAUAAUAAUAAUAAUAAUAAUAAUAAUAGUGUAUUUUUAAACCAUAAGAAAGCCUAUAUUGUAGGGCGCAUUAGAUAGCAUUACUCAAUAAUAAUUUUUAGCAAUCAAACAUCCCUUGCACAAACAGCAAAGGAUUUGGUGGUUGGUAUUCUAGGUCUCAUAUUCGAAACUUAAUUACUUCACAUUUUCAACUAAAUUUAUUUUUAAAUAAAAUAAAUAAAACACGUAACAUAUUAUUUUUUUCUCAGAAAAAAAAAAACCAGCAAAAAACUCAAGUCAAUAUGAUAGUAUAGGCUAUAUAUAAGAAUAGAUAAGGACGAGGGCUUAGUUGAGUCAAUUAUUAUUAUUAUUAUUAGGAAAAAUUACAUUUUUGGUCCUCAAACUACGAGCCGGGUGGUUUUUGAUUCUCAAAUUUUUAAUUCGUUACAAUUUUUUAUUUGAACUUUAAUUUCUCAGAGUCAAUACGAUCAAAUGUUACAACCUACUUUUGAUGGACUAAAUACCGAUGCAUUAUCAAUGGAUAAGUGAUGUAGCUAGUAGUAUUUACGAUUAAUCAUGUAUCAAUAAUUACGACGUUAUGUUACUUUUACAUCAAUGAUAUACUGGACGGCUAAAAUAUUACGUGUCUCUCAUAGUUUGAGGACAAACGUGCAAUUUGCUCUUAUAUAUCAUUAUUAUUUUUCAGUAGUUGAAUAGAUUAUAAACAAUGCCAAGUUGCACCUCUUCUUGACCGCGUGAAUACAUAGAUAGAUGCCUAAUAUGUUUGUUUCAUGUAAAAGCAAUGAAUCCAAGAGUCAGUUUUAUAUAUAUAUAGCACUAAUUAUUAGUCUUAUCGCAAUUCAUUUUUUUUAAUACUAAAAAUUAAAAAAAUUAUUUUAAUCCUUAGAUGGAUGGGUUAUAAUUAAAAUUUACGUCUCUUUUUUAAAUACACAGAUAGCAAGAUAGAUGUACACUUGAAACAAAAAUGCAUGAUUUAUAUCAUAUCAUUCUAAUAUUGAUAAAAUUAUGUAAAACUUUAAUUUUUUAUUUACUAAAAAAUUGACAAGAGGAAAGACUUUGGAUGAAGAUGUGUAUGGUGUACACCACAAAGCUCAAAAAUAAUAAUUAAAUAAAAGAAUAUAUUUAUUAGAUCAUAGAGAGCUCAUAUUAUAGGGCAUCAUUAUUUAUAAUAAUAUACUCAUGUAAAAAGAGACGAGCGUACGUGAUUAGUAAGUUGUAAUUUUUAUGCCCGUAGACUGAAAGAACACUAGAGUGCAGGGACUAAUAAUAGUAAAGGUACCAUCCGUCUCUGAUGCAAGUGGUAAAGAAUUUGAUGAUUGGUAUCGGAGAUCUAAAUUCGAAUUCUAGUUGAUUCGCAUUUUCAGCUAAGUUUAUUUCUAAAUGAAAUAAACAAAGCGGGUAGCGUGAUACCUAUCUCUCAAUAAAUAAUAAUAAUAAUAAUAAUAAUAAUAAUAGUAAAAUUAUUCUUUGAUGCCGCGUUAAUUCUCAGCCGGCAGCUACCCAGCUCUCUGUUCUGAGCUUGCUGGCGCGAGAAUGUCGGGAGUAGUAGAGCCGAUCAUAUUAGCAGCGGUGGGAUGGGUGGCGUCUCCCCUCGUGGCGAAGCUGCUCAACGAAGGCUACCUCAGCUUAGGCAUCAACGCGGAGAAGAAGCUGGAGAAGAUGAGGGACACCGUCCUCCCGGUGCUGAAAUCGGUGAUCGAGAAAGCGGAGGGCAGCCCGCACCGGAGCGAGGUGGAGGGCUGGCUGCAGAGGCUGAAAGACGCUUACGACGGCGCGGAGGACGCGCUGGACCGCCUCACCUACGACCGCCUCAGACGCAAGGCUAAGGCAGCCGCAAGGAGCAGCAGUGGUAAGAGGCCAACAAAUCCGGUACGUUCUUCUUCCUCUUUUCACGUACCAAAACGUGUGAAAUGGGUG
rnacentral:lncRNA from 1 species